UCCUACCUGAUCGAGGUCACCUUAGAAAUGGGGUUGUUUUACGGCGUAGCCUCCCGAACACCCUUUAGCGAAUAGUUUCCACAACGCUUAGGGGACAGAAGACCCAGCCGGACGAUUUGAGGCACGCGGCGGACCGCGUUGCCCAAUACCAAGCGAGGCUUGAGUGGUGAAAUGACGCUCGAACAGGCAUGCCCCCCGGAAUACCAGGGGGCGCAAUGUGCGUUCAAAGAUUCGAUGAUUCACUGAAUUCUGCAAUUCACAUUACUUAUCGCAUUUCGCUGCGUUCUUCAUCGAUGCCAGAACCAAGAGAUCCGUUGUUAAAAGUUUUAAUUUAUUAAUUAAGUUUACUCAGACUGCAAAGUUACGCAAGAGUUUGAAGUGUCCACCCGGAGCCCCCGCCCGAAGGCAGGGUCGCCCCGGAGGCAACAGAGUCGGACAACAAAGGGUUAUGAAUAACCAGGCCGAAGCCCGGGCGUUCUUGUAAUGAUCCCUCCGCAGGUCCCCCUAACGGAAAG
rnacentral:misc_RNA from 1 species